rnacentral:lncRNA from 1 species
CUGGCCAGGUAAAGGAUUCUGCCUAUGAUUCGGCUGUCCGAGCGAAGGAUACCGCGGCUGAGAAGGCUACCCAGGCGAAGGAUACCACCUAUGAUACGGCUGCUCGAGCGAAAGAUACAACUCUCGAGAAGGCUGGGCAGACGAAGGAUUCGGUUUAUGAUAGCAGCGUUCGAGCCAAGGAUGUCGCUGCCGAGAAGGCUGGCCAGGCGAAGGAUUCCACCUAUGAUACGGCUGCUCGAGCCAAGGAUGUUACUGCCGAGAAGGCUGGCCAGGCGAAAGAUACCACAUAUGAUUCGGCUGCUCGAGCAAAGGAUGUUACUGCCGAGAAGGCUGGCCAGGCGAAAGAUGCCACCUAUGAUUCGGCUACUCGAGCAAAGGAUGUCACUGCCGAGAAGGCUGGCCAGGCGAAAGAUUCCACCUAUGAUUCGGCUGCUCGAGCAAAGGAUGUCACUGCCGAGAAGGCUGCCCGUGCUCAAGACACGACGAAGGUAUGGUGUUUUGUACUCCUGUUGUUUUGUAUUGAGCGAUUCUUUUGUAUUUCUCAG